rnacentral:rRNA from 1 species
CGCGUGCACUGGUCCGGCCGGGCCUUUCCUUCUGUGGAACCCCAUGCCCUUCACUGGGUGUGGCGGGGAAACAGGACUUUUACUUUGAAAAAAUUAGAGUGCUCCAGGCAGGCCUAUGCUCGAAUACAUUAGCAUGGAAUAAUAAAAUAGGACGUGUGGUUCUAUUUUGUUGGUUUCUAGGACCGCCGUAAUGAUUAAUAGGGACAGUCGGGGGCAUCAGUAUUCAGUUGUCAGAGGUGAAAUUCUUAGAUCUACUGAAGACUAACUACUGCGAAAGCAUUUGCCAAGGAUGUUUUCAUUAAUCAGGAACGAAAGUUAGGGGAUCGAAGACGAUCAGAUACCGUCGUAGUCUUAACCAUAAACUAUGCCGACUAGGGAUCGGACGAUGUUAUUUUUUGACUCGUCCGGCACCUUACGAGAAAUCAAAGUGCUUGGGCUCCAGGGGGAGUAUGGUCGCAAGGCUGAAACUUAAAGAAAUUGACGGAAGGGCACCACCAGGGGUGGAGCCUGCGGCUUAAUUUGACUCAACACGGGGAAACUCACCAGGUCCAGACACAAUAAGGAUUGACAGAUUGAGAGCUCUUUCUUGAUUUUGUGGGUGGUGGUGCAUGGGCCGUUCUUAGUUGGUGGAGUGAUUUGUCUGCUUAAUUGCGAUAACGAACGAGACCUUAACCUGCUAACUAGCCCGUAUUGCUCAGGCAGUACGCCGGCUUCUUAGAGGGACUAUCGG